AUUUUCCACAAUGGGCGAAAGCCUGAUCCAGCAAUGCCGCGUGAGUGAUGAAGGCCCUAGGGUUGUAAAGCUCUUUUACCCGGGAAGAUAAUGACUGUACCGGGAGAAUAAGCCCCGGCUAACUCCGUGCCAGCAGCCGCGGUAAUACGGAGGGGGCUAGCGUUGUUCGGAAUUACUGGGCGUAAAGCGCACGUAGGCGGCUUUGUAAGUUAGAGGUGAAAGCCCGGGGCUCAACCCCGGAACUGCCUUUAAGACUGCAUCGCUUGAAUCCAGGAGAGGUGAGUGGAAUUCCGAGUGUAGAGGUGAAAUUCGUAGAUAUUCGGAAGAACACCAGUGGCGAAGGCGGCUCACUGGCCUGGUAUUGACGCUGAGGUGCGAAAGCGUGGGGAGCAAACAGG
rnacentral:rRNA from 1 species